rnacentral:rRNA from 1 species
GACGAACGCUGGCGGCGUGCUUAACACAUGCAAGUCGAACGGAAAGGCCCUGCUCUUGUUGGUUGCUCGAUUGGCGAACGGGUGAGUAACACGCGAGUAACCUGCCCUUGACUUUGGGAUAACUUCAGGAAACUGGGGCUAAUACCGGAUAGGAGCUCCUGCUGCAUGGUGGUGGUUGGAAAGUUUCGGCGUUUGUGGAUGGACUCGCGGCUUAUCAGCCUGUUGGUGGGGUAGUGGCUUACCAAGGCUUUGACGGGUAGCCGGCCUGAGAGGGUGACCGGCCACAUUGGGACUGAGAGAGGGCCCAGAAUGCUACGGGAGGCAGCAGGGGGGAAUAUUGCGCAAUGGGCGGAAGCCUGAUGCAGCAACGCCGCGUGCGGGAUGACGGCCUUCGGGUUGUAAACCGCUUUCGACGGUGACGAAGCGUGAGUGACGGUAAUGGGUAAAGAAGCAACGGCUAACUACGUG